rnacentral:rRNA from 1 species
AGUGAACGCUGGCGGUAGGCCUAACACAUGCAAGUCGAACGGCAGCACAGUAAGAGCUUGCUCUUACGGGUGGCGAGUGGCGGACGGGUGAGGAAUACAUCGGAAUCUACUUUUUCGUGGGGGAUAACGUAGGGAAACUUACGCUAAUACCGCAUACGACCUACGGGUGAAAGCAGGGGAUCUUCGGACCUUGCGCGAUUGAAUGAGCCGAUGUCGGAUUAGCUAGUUGGCGGGGUAAAGGCCCACCAAGGCGACGAUCCGUAGCUGGUCUGAGAGGAUGAUCAGCCACACUGGAACUGAGACACGGUCCAGACUCCUACGGGAGGCAGCAGUGGGGAAUAUUGGACAGUGGGCGCAAGCCUGAUCCAGCCAUACCGCGUGGGUGAAGAAGGCCUUCGGGUUGUAAAGUCCUUUUGUUGGGAAAGAAAAGCAGCAGGUUAAUACCCCGCUGUUCUGACGGUACCCAAAGAAUAAGCACCGGCUAACUUCGU